UCCAUCAUUCCUUAAGUCCCAUAGGUUGAUCCUAUAGAAUCUGAUCCAUUUUCUCGUUGAGCGAAGGGUACGAAAUAGAUCGGAUUGAUUUUUCGAUCAAAAGUACUAUGUGAAAUCUUCGGUUUUUUCCUCUUUCUCUAUCCUUAUCCCAUAGGUACAGCAUUUGAAUCAAUAGAGAACUUUUUCUUCUGUAUCUAUAUGAAUCGAUAUUAU
rnacentral:lncRNA from 1 species